rnacentral:rRNA from 1 species
CCCGCAUGUUGAACACGUGUUCGAUAGGCCGGAGGUGGAAGUCCCGCGAGGGAUGGAGCCGACCGGUACUAACGGGCGAACGCGGCACACUC